ACUCCUACGGGAGGCAGCAGUGGGGAAUAUUGCACAAUGGGCGCAAGCCUGAUGCAGCCAUGCCGCGUGUAUAAGAAGGCCUUCGGGUUGUAAAGUACUUUCAGCAGUGAGGAAGGUGGGUAUGUUAAUAGCAUAUUCAUUUGACGUUAGCUGCAGAAGAAGCACCGGCUAACUCCGUGCCAGCAGCCGCGGUAAUACGGAGGGUGCGAGCGUUAAUCGGAAUUACUGGGCGUAAAGCGCAUGCAGGUGGUUUGUUAAGUCAGAUGUGAAAGCCCGGGGCUCAACCUCGGAAUUGCAUUUGAAACUGGCAAACUAGAGUACUGUAGAGGGGGGUAGAAUUUCAGGUGUAGCGGUGAAAUGCGUAGAGAUCUGAAGGAAUACCGGUGGCGAAGGCGGCCCCUGGACAGAUACUGACACUCAGAUGCGAAAGCGUGGGAGCAAACAGGAUUAGAUACCCUGGUAGACAUCA
rnacentral:rRNA from 1 species